rnacentral:rRNA from 1 species
UACGGUGGGGGCAAGCGUUGUUCGGAAUUACUGGGCGUAAAGGGCUCGUAGGUGGCCAACUAAGUCAGACGUGAAAUCCCUCGGCUUAACCGGGGAACUGCGUCUGAUACUGGAUGGCUUGAGAUUGGGAGAGGGACGCGGAAUUCCAGGUGUAGCGGUGAAAUGCGUAGAUAUCUGGAGGAACACCGGUGGCGAAGGCGGCGUCCUGGACCAACACUGACACUGAGGAGCGAAAGCCAGGGGAGCAAACGGG